CAGGCACGCAAAUUACCCACUCCCGGCACGGGGGAGGUAGUGACAAAAAAUAACGAUACGGGACUCAUCCGAGGCCCCGUAAUCGGAAUGAGAACAUCCUAAAUCCUUUAACGAAAAUCUAUUGGAGGGCAAGUCUGGUGCCAGCAGCCGCGGUAACUCCAGCUCCAAUAGCGUAUNNNNNNNNNNNNNNNNNNNNAGCGUGCCACGCUGUCGGUUCACCGCCUGCCGGUGCAACUGGCAUGCCGUGGCAUGUCCUGUCGGUGGCGGAUAGGCUUCGUGUCGCGUCCUAUGCACUAAACUGUGUAGGCCGCGCGGCACGUUGUCCUUGUACGCCGGCUCAAUCCUACCGCGGUGCUCUUUACCGAGUGUCGAGGUGGGCCGACACUGUUUACUUUGAACAAAUUAGAGUGCUUAAAGCAGGCUCUUAAAUCAGCCUGAAUAGUGGUGCAUGGAAUAAUAGAACAGGACCUUGGUUCUAUUUUGUUGGUUUUCUGAAUCCAAGGUAAUGAUCAAUAAGGACAGGCGGGGGCCUUGGCAAAUGCUUUCGCNNNNAAAUUCUUGGACCGUCGCAAGACGCACUAGAGCGAAAGCAUUUGCCAAGUAUGUCUUAAUUGAUCAAGAACGAAAGUUAGAGGUUCGAAGGCGAUCAGAUACCGCCCUAGUUCUAACCAUAAACGAUGCCAGCCAGCGAUCCGCCGAUGUUCCUCCGAUGACUCGGCGGGGAGCUUCCCCGGGAAACCAAAGCUUUUGGGUUCCGGGGGAAGUAUGGUUGCAAAGCUGAAACUUAAAGGAAUUGACGGAAGGGCACCACCAGGAGUGGAGCCUGCGGCUUAAUUCGACUCAACACGGAAAACCCCACCAGGCCCGGACAUUGGAAGGAUUGACAGAUCGAUAGCUCUUUCUCGAUUCAGUGGGUAGUGGUGCAUGGCCGUUCAUAGUUCGUGGACUGAUUUGUCUGGUUAAU
rnacentral:rRNA from 1 species